GACUUUGGCAGGUGCUCUUGAAUGCAGAUUUCUGAUAACGUUGGAGAUUGUGACAUCAGAAUAGAGGAAGAAAUUUCCAGUACUCAUGAAGAGCUGAAAUGUUCAUGCAUAUCAAGGAGAACCAGAGAUAACUGCAUGGACUGAACUAAUAGAAGAUUGAAACAAUCUUUUUUGACUUUUUGCUUAAAAUGUUGCUGAUGCUUUGAUUUGUUUUUCAUUGCUAAGAAAAGUGUUCUUUUGAUCUACUUACAGCUUUUAACAAUUGCUUAAAGUAUACUCCUGUGAACAAAAUUUGGAGCAUAUUUCUCUCUACCUGAUUUCUCCAGGAUUUGGACACUCUUUAGAAUCCAAUUGAAUGCUAUUAUAGUUUGGAUAUUUGACCCUCCAACCAGCAUGUUGAAAUUUGAUCCACAAUGUUGGAGGUGGGGCCUAAUUGGAGGUGUUUGGAUCAUGGUGGUGGAUACUUCAUGAAUGGCUUGCUACUGUCCUCCUGGAAAUUAGUCAAGGGCCAUUGACUUCCAGACUUUCUUGAUGGAGUUCCACUGCAGCUCUGGCUUAAUUUUCUUCUUCUAUGGCCAGGAAUCCUCCUAGAUGAUGAGAUAGAUGCCAUUUUCUGUGCUCAGCAGCUCUUACCUGGACUUCUCUUCCAGAUGCAGUAGCCAUGAAGAGACGUGCCUUGCUCCACCUUCACCUUCGACCAUAAUUGUAAGUUUCCUGAGGUCUCCUCAGCCAUGUGGAACUGUGAACCAAACCUCUUUCUUUUAUAAAUUACUUAGUCUCAGGAAGUAUAGUGGUGUGAGAACAGACUAAUAUAUCAGCCCAAAGGGAGCAUCCUCAACUAGACACCAACCCUGCUGGCACCUUGACCUUGGAUUUUCCAGUCUCUACAAUUCUGAUAAAUAUAUUCUGUUGUUUAAGCUACUCAGUCUUUUGGUAUUUUGUCAUGGCAGCUCUAAUAAACUAUUAGGGGUGGUAGCUCUAUUAAAAUUCCUUUAUCUAAUCACUUUUAAUAGUACAGUCAGGCUUCAUACUGCUGAGAGUAUCCAAACUAGCAUCACAAGGGACACAGCUUUGGCCUUCUCACCUUGUUUUCAAAACUUGUGAGACUCUGCUUGGGCCAGUUUUCAUCUUUCAAGGAAUUUGUGCAUUUCAUGUAAGUUAUUAAAUUUAUGUUUUUUAAAUAGUUUGUAAUAUUUCCUUAUUAUUAUCUAAUGUUUGUAGAACAUUGCUGUUAUCUGUGUUGUCUCACCGUUUUGGUCAUUCUUGCUAGAGAUUUAUUUGUAUUGAUCUUUUUUAAACAAUAGCCUUGGUAUUCACUGAUCUUUCUUUCUCUUUCUUUCUUUCUUUUUCUUUCUUUCCUUCCUUCCUUCCUUCUUUUUUUUUUUUUUUUGAUGGUGUCUGUCUCUGACACUCAGGCUGAAGUGCGGUGGCACUAUCGUGGCUAGCUGCAGCCUCGACCUCUCAGGCUCAAGUAAUCCUCCCACCUCAGUCUCCUGAAUAACUGGGACUGCAGGUGCACACCACAAGCCUGGCUAAUUUAUUUUAUUUUUUGUAGAGACAGUCUUGAUAUGUUGCCCAGGCCCUUGAUAUGCUGGACUCAAGCCAUCUUCUGACUCGGCUGCCUAAAGUGCUGGGAUUACAGGUGUGAGCCAUGGCACCCAGCCUGAUUUGUCUUUAUUGUUUUAAAUGUUUUGUCAAUUUCUUUCACUUUUGCUCUUCUCUUAACUACUUUAUUUCUCCUGCUUGUUUUGGAUUUACUUGAUAUUCACCUUCUAUAUUUUAGUUCAAGGUAUAAGCUUAGGUCAUUGAUUUCAAAUUUCUGUCUUUCUAAUAUAAAUAUUUAGCUGGGGCCUACAAAUAUAUAGAUACGUUGUAUUUUUAGUUUCAUUCAGUUAAAAAUAUUUUCUAAUUUCCUUUUUGUUUUUCUCUUUAGUCUGUGGAUUAUUUACAAAUGUAGUACUAAAUGUUCUACAAGCUAUAUUUCUGUUAUUGCUUUAUAGUUUGUUUAUAUCAAAAUUUGUGUGAUUUCAAUCUGUUUGAAUUUAUUUACAUUAUUGUAUGGUCUAGAAUAUCAGCUAUAUUGGUAAAUAUAUAACAUGUACUUAAAAAAUGUAUAUUAUAACUUUGGUGCAGUGAUCUAUAAAUAUCAAUUAGUUCAAUUUGACUAAUAGUGUUGUUCAAGCCUUGUACAUCUUUAUUACAUUUUAAUGUGCUUGCUACAUUUUAUACAGAGAGAAAAAUGUCAAAAUAUCUUAAUCUAUUGAUUUUUUAAUUUCUCUUUUCUGUUUUAUCAGUUUUUUUCUCCAUGUAUUUUGAAGUUUUUUGAUUGUUAUGUCUUUUUGAUAAAUUGCUCUUUGUAUUAUAGAAUGCCCCUCCAUUUUUAUUCCUGGCCUUAUUCCUGUCUCUAAAACCUACUUUGUCUCUUACUCAUACACUCAUUUUAUUUUUCUUUUGUUUAGUGUUUGCAGGCUAAAAUUUUUCCCAUCAGUUUUAUCUUUAAACUUCCUUUAAUUGUGUUUUGCAUAAAAUUUUUUUUUGUAGAUUAUUUGAAGAUUUUUUCAUAGGAUUUUAUGUGCUUGGUUCUUGGCUUUUGAAUCUAACAGUCUCUCCCUUUUAAUUGGAGUGUUUGUAACAUUUAUAUUUAAUUAUCAGAUUUAAAUUAAUCAUCUUUUAU
rnacentral:lncRNA from 10 species